rnacentral:rRNA from 1 species
UACUCGAGUGGCGAACGGGUGAGUAACACGUGGGUGAUCUGCCUUGCACUCUGGGAUAAGCUUGGGAAACUGGGUCUAAUACCGGAUAGGAACCGUCUUUAGUGUGGUGGUUGGAAAGUUUUUUCGGUGCAAGAUGAGCUCGCGGCCUAUCAGCUUGUUGGUGGGGUAAUGGCCUACCAAGGCGUCGACGGGUGGCCGGCCUGAGAGGGUGUACGGCCACAUUGGGACUGAGAUACGGCCCAG